GCCCGGGUGGCUCAGUCGGUUGAGCGUCUGACUUCGUGAUCAGGUCAUGAUCUCACAAUUCGUGGGUUCGAGCCCCGCGUCGGGCU
rnacentral:tRNA from 1 species